rnacentral:rRNA from 1 species
GACGAACGCUGGCGGCGUGCUUAACACAUGCAAGUCGAGCGGUAAGGCCCUUUCGGGGGUACACGAGCGGCGAACGGGUGAGUAACACGUGGGUGACCUGCCCUCAGCUCCGGGAUAAGCCUGGGAAACCGGGUCUAAUACCGGAUAUGACUCCAUGACGCAUGUUGUGGGGUGGGAAAGCCUUGUGCGGCUGAGGAUGGGCCCGCGGCCUAUCAGCUUGUUGGUGGGGUGAUGGCCACCAAGGCGACGACGGGUAGCCGGCCUGAGAGGGCGACCGGCCGACACUGGGGACUGAGACACGGCCCAGACUCCUACGGGAGGGCAGCAGUGGGGAAUCUUGCGCAAUGGGCGAAAGCCUGACGCAGCGACGCCGCGUGAGGGAUGACGGCCU